CUGGUCAGAAAAUAAGUUGGUUGGGUUAAAACCUGUGUCCAGUCCGUCCAGGAAAGACCGAGUUCACGAGUCUUUUCCGGUUAAGCGGUUAAUACAGUGUUAGUCACGAGAUGUGUGUUCCGCUGAAUAUUUGAGCCUAAAGUCGUCCCGUAGCCGGUCUUAGCAACUUUCCUGUUGAAAUCUUUCGGCUCAACCGUAGAGGUCUUGUCAGGAAAAACUACUAGGUCUAGGGUAGUGGGGGAGGUCAGAGGUACGUUAGGGGGAGCGGUUAAAUGUCUUUAAUCCUUAACGGACCACCAGUGGCGAAGGUCGUUCUGACCAAAACACGUUCCGACGUGUUGAGGGACGUAAGGUCUAGGUGGAGCAAACCGGAUUAGAUACCCGGGUAGUCCUAGCAGUAAAUAAUGCAAACUUGGUCGUUGCACUCGUCCUCGAGUCAAGUGCAGUGCCGUAGUGUAAGACGUAUUAGUUUGCCGUCUUGGGGAGCACCACAAGCCGUGGAUGCUGCGGUUCAUAUUGGACUCAACGCCGGGAUACUCACCAGGAUAGACGGCAGCAUGAAGCUCAGGCUGAAGACCUUAGCUAACAAGCCGAGAAGUGUUGCAUGGCCAGCGUCAGCUCGUGCCGUGAAGUGUCAGGUUAAGUCCUGCAACGAGCGAGAUCCCUGUGGACAGUUGCAAUCAUCGAAGCAAUUCGGCGAGCACUCUGUUCAGACUGCCCGCGUUAAGUGGGAGGAAGGAAGGGGCGACGCUAGGUCAGUAUGACCCGAAUUUCCUGGGCCACACGUGGCAUACAAUGGUGGAGACAAUGAGUUCCGACGCCGAAAGGCGAAGGCAAUCCCAAAAACUCCGCCUCAGUUCGGAUUGGGGGCUGAAACUCGUCCCCAUGAAGCUGGAAUGGCUAGUAAUCGUCGUCGUCAUCAUCGUCGCGGUGAAUAUGUUCCAUGUCUCCUUGUCACACACCGUCCCGUCAAGCCAUCCAAGUCGAGGUCUUUAAUGAGGUUCUCGUACUUUGUCUCGUAGUCGUGUCUAGAU
rnacentral:rRNA from 1 species